GCCCGGGUGGUGGAACUGGUAGACACAAGGGACUUAAAAUCCCUCAUCCUAACGGAUAUGCGGGUUCAAAUCCCGCCCUGGGCACCA
rnacentral:tRNA from 1 species